CCUGGUUAAUCCACCAAUAGUCAUAUGCUUAUCCUAAAGAUUAAGUCAUGCAUGUAUAAGUAUGAACUAAUUCAGAUUGUGAAACUUUGAAUGGCUUAUUAAAUCAGUUAUAGUUUGUUUGAUGGUAUCUACUGCUUGGAUAACUAUUGUAAUUCUAGAGCUAAUAUGUAUAACAAACCUUAACUUCUAGAAGGGAUACAUUUAUAACAUAAAAGGUCAAUGUAGGCUUUGGCCAUUGGUUUGAUGAUUGAUGAUAACUCGGUGGAUCACAUGGCCUUUAUGCUAGUGACGUAUCAUUCAAAAUUUUACCCUAUCAACUUUCGAUGGUAGAAUAGUGGCCUACUAUGAUGGUGAUGGGUGAUAAAAAAUUAGGGUUUGACUCCAAAAAAGGAGCUUAAAAAAUGGCUACCAAAUUUGAGAAAGGAAGCAGGAAUGCAAAUUACCCAAUCCUGACAAGGGGAGGUAGUGAAAAUAAAUAACAAUAUUGGGCUCUAUGAGUCAGUAAUUGGAAUGAGUACAAUCUAAAUCCCUUAAUGAGGAUCCAUUGGUAGGCGAGUCUAGUGCCAGCAAUCAUGGUAAUUCUAGCUAUAAUAUUUAAGUUGUUAUAGUUAAAAAGCUUGUAGUUAGAACUAGGGUUAGGUUAUUCAGUUUGCCUCAUGGUAAGUAUCAGUCUAUUCAUCCAUAUUACCGGUGAUACACUCCUGGCCUUAACUGGUUAGGUCAUUCCUCUGGUAUUGUUGUUAUGAAAAAAUUAAAUUGCUUAGAACAGGCCUACAUUUGUAUACAUUAGCAUGGGAUAACACUAUAGGAUUUCGAUCCUAUUGCGUUGGCUUUUAAGAUUGGAUUAAUCAUUAAGAGGGACAGUUAGAGGCAUUCAUAAUUCAUAGUCAAAGAUGAAAUUUUUGGAUUUAUGAAAGAUGAACAACUACGAAAGCAUUUGUUAAGGAUGUUUUCAUUAAUCAAGAACAAAAGUUGAGGGCUCAAAGAUGAUCAAAUACCAUCUUAGUCUCAACAAUAAAUGAUGCCAACUAGGGAUCGACAGGUGUUACUUUUAUGACUCUAUCAGCACCUUAUGAGAAAUCAAAGUCUUUGGGUUCUAAGGGAGUAUUGUCACAAGGCUGAAACUUGAAGGAAUUGAUGAAAGGGUACCACUAAAAGUGGAUUUUGUGGCUUAAUUUGACUCAAUAAGGGGAAACUUACCAGGUUCAAACAUAGUAAGGAUUGACAGACUAAAAGCUCUUUCUUGAUUCUAUGGGAGAUGGUGCAUGGUCAUUCUUAGUUGGUGGAGCAAUUUCUUUGGUUAAUUCCUUUAACAAAUGAGAGCUCAGCCUACUAACUAGCUAUUCAAAGGUGAUCUUUUAUGGCUAGCUUCUUAGAGGGACUAUAGCCACUUAGGCCAAGGAAGUUUUAGGCAAUAAUAGGUCUGUUAUGCCCUUGAUGUUUGGGUUGCACCCUCGCUAUACUGAUGUAUUCUACGAGUCUAUAAACUUGGCUAAUAGGCUCAAGUAAUCUUUGAAAUUUUAUCGUGAUAGGGAUAAAUCAUUACAAUUGUUGGUCUUCAAUGAGAAAUUCCUAGUAAUCGUAAGUCAUUAGCUCACAUUGACUACAUCCUUACCCUAUGUACACACCACCUAUCGCUCAUACUGAUUGAAUGAUUUAGUGAAGUGUUCAGAUAUGGCAAUAUGGAUAGUUCAUUACUCAUAAUGUUAUGAGAAGUCCACUUAACCUUAUCAUUUAUAGGAUGGAGAAGUCAUAACAAGGUUUCCAUAGGUGAACCUAUGGAAG
rnacentral:rRNA from 1 species